CCGCAACGAGCGCAACCCCUGUCCUUUGUUGCCAGCACGUAAUGGUGGGAACUCAAGGGAGACUGCCGGUGAUAAACCGGAGGAAGGUGGGGAUGACGUCAAGUCAUCAUGGCCCUUACGGCCAGGGCUACACACGUGCUACAAUGGCGCGUACAGAGGGCUGCAAGCUAGCGAUAGUGAGCGAAUCCCAAAAAGCGCGUCGUAGUCCGGAUCGGAGUCUGCAACUCGACUCCGUGAAGUCGGAAUCGCUAGUAAUCGCAAAUCAGAAUGUUGCGGUGAAUACGUUCCCGGGCCUUGUACACACCGCCCGUCACACCAUGGGAGUGGGUUGCACCAGAAGUAGAUAGCUUAACCUUCGGGAGGGCGUUUACCACGGUGUGAUUCAUGACUGGGGUGAAGUCGUAACAGGGUAACC
rnacentral:rRNA from 1 species